GGCGAACGGGUGCUUAACACGUGGGCAACUGCCAUGNAAGUGGGGGAUAGCUCGCCGAAAGGCGAAUUAAUACCGCAUGUGAUUAGAGAGGACAUCCUUUCGAAAUUAAAGUCGGGGCAACCUGACGCUUCUUGUGGGGCCCGCGGCCUAUCAGCUAGUUGGUGAGGUAACGGCUCACCAAGGCUUUGACGGGUAGCUGGUCUGAGAGGACGACCAGCCACACUGGGACUGAGACACGGCCCAGACACCUACGGGUGGCAGCAGUCGAGAAUUUUUGACAAUGGGGGAAACCCUGAUCGAGCGACGCCGCGUGGAGGAUGAAUGGCUUCGGCCCGUAAACCCCUGUCAUUUGCGAUCAAACCUCGUUAUUUAAAAGAUGACGAGCUGAUAGUAGCGAAAGAGGAAGGGACGGCUAACUCUGUGCCAGCCGCCGCGG
rnacentral:rRNA from 1 species